UACGGGGGGGGGCAAGCGUUGUUCGGAAUUACUGGGCGUAAAGGGCUCGUAGGCGGCCAACUAAGUCAUACGUGAAAUCCCUCGGCUUAACCGGGGAACUGCGUCUGAUACUGGAUGGCUUGAGUUCGGGAGAGGGAUGCGGAAUUCCAGGUGUAGCGGUGAAAUGCGUAGAUAUCUGGAGGAACACCGGUGGCGAAGGCGGCAUCCUGGACCGGUAUUGACGCUGAGGCGCGAAAGCCAGGGGAGCAAAGCGGG
rnacentral:rRNA from 1 species